AUUUCAAAUAACUUAUUACUCAUUCUUAAACAAAUCGUUACUUUGGUAGAUGGAUAAUACAUUAAUUAAAUAAACUUCACGCCACAUAAUCGCAUGUUCGCCUCUUUUACAUAGAGUAUAUAUCACAAUACCCUACCAACCUCAGAAUAAAACCAUUAUCAUUAAUAAACAGUACAGAUUAAAACAUUUAUCUGGAAGAAGGAGUUUUUAUAUGUUGUCUUAUGUAUUUAUAAUUAUUUAAAUAAUUAAAAAUCUAACAAUAUUAUAUUGCGUCUUAGUAGGCUUUGAUGUCAACUAUCACCCUGUAAACUAUAUCGUAGUAUUUACGGGACACCCUGUAUUAUAGGCAUCACUAAAGAACACUAUAGUAGGUAGAGUCAACGACCAAUGACUCAAUCCACCGACUAUUCGGUAUCGCCGUACGCAUAAUCGAUUUUGUUAAUUUAUUUUAUGCACCGUUAUAGACGAUUCUUGUAAUCGAGUUGCACAAAUAGGCGCAAUAUAGUGAUUUAUUUACUGUCUUAACUAGGAUGACCACGCGGUCUGUUGUUUUUAUAGCCAAACGACAAAUCUUGUGCAGAGAAAUGGACAAAUUUCAACCAAUAGCGGCUCAACCGUAAAUACCGUUAACUCUUUUUUUUCGUUCGGACAAAAGUGAUGGGACUGAGACAACUGCGUCGUCAUUGGUCGAUAUUAUGUCUAUUUCUCUUCUAUUCUUUCUUCUAUUCUAUUCACUUGGUCGUAUGUUAGGUGCACUGAGACAAGUCUUGUCCUCAGUAAGCUAAGUAUCAUACGAAUUAUUGUACAUUUUUUUUUAAUUUACUGUGUACUAUUAAAAUACAAACAAAAAUAUCACAUGUUUCUUAAAAAAAUAAUAUGUACCUAAUUUUAUUGUACUAUUAUUUAUAGCAACAGUCGUUGGCAGUCGUUGACGUCGACUUCAAAUGUUUAUUUUAAGUUAAAAAUUCAACCGACUUCCAACUCAAAAAUAACCAAAACUAAAAAGCAAAAAAUAACAUCUUACCUAUGUGCUACCUUCUGAUCAGUUUGAAGGCGGUGCCAAUCCAGUGUCAUGUUUUAAUUAAAGCCGUUUCUGAAAGAACCACAGAAAUUUUGUAAUUUAAACGGCUUGAAUUAAAACAUCACUGGCUUGGCACCGCCUUCAAACUGAUCAGAAGGUAGCACAUAGGUAGGAUGUUAUUUUUUGCUUUUUAGUUAAAGUUAUUUUUUGAGUUGGAAGUCGGUUGAAUUUUUUUUAUUAAAAUUUUUAUUUUUUUAUUUUUAGUGUUAGCAUACCCACUGCGUGUGUACAGUCACAACCUAUCUAAGUGGAAUGUUCUUAUCAAUACAAAAUUAUCAAGUCCCAACACAAGGUAGCUACUGUGAGCCGUCAAGGAGUUCUCUUCACUGUGCUUCGUCUUCAUCAUCAGACCCUUAAUACAGUCGCAAUCUAUCUAGGUGGAAAGUUCUCAUCAAUACAAAUUUAUCAAGUCCAAACACAAGGUAGCUACUGUGAACCGUCGAGGAGUUCUCUUCACUGUCCCUCGUCUUCAUCAUCAGACCCUUAAUACAGUCACAAUCCUUCUAGGUGGAAAGUUCUCAUCAAUACAAAUUUAUCAAGUCCAAACACAAGGUAGCUACUGUGAGCCGUCGAGGAGUUCUCUUCACUGUGCUUCGUCUUCAUCACCAGACCCUUAAUACAGUCGCAAUCCAUCUAGGUGGAAAGUUCUCAUCAAUACAAAUUUAUCAAGUCCAAACACAAGGUAGCUACUGUGAACCGUCGAGGAGUUCUCUUCACUGUCCCUCGUCUUCAUCACCAGACCCUUAAUACAGUCACAACCCAUAUAGGUGGAAAGUACUCAUCAAUACAAAUUAAUCAAGCCCAAACAAAAGGUGACUGCUGUAAAUCCUUGACGAGUUCCAUCGUCUGUGUUUCGGCUCCAUCAUCAGACCAACUCCAAACCUUCAUAAAGUUGUAGUGGUUUAAAAUACCUUAUGGAAACACUAACAAACGUAGUAGCCGUCUCUACAACUUUUGAAAGUUCCCCUCAAUUUCUCCAGGAUGCCAUCAUCAGAUCCUGACAUGAAAAAAAUGGGACCACCCUGGAAGUAAACCCUACAAAACAAAAAAAGAAUUUUCAAAAUCGGUCCAUAAUUGACGGAAUUAUCGCUGGACAUACAUAAAAAAAAAAAAAAAAAAAAAAAAAAAAAACAUACAUACAGCCGAACGUAGAACCUCCUCCUUUUUGGAAGUCGGUUAAAAA